GGCGAACGGGUGAGUAACUCGUGGGUGAUCUGCCUUGCACUCUGGGAUAAGCUUGGGAAACUGGGUCUAAUACCGGAUAGGAACCGUCUUUAGUGUGGUGGUUGGAAAGUUUUUUCGGUGCAAGAUGAGCUCGCGGCCUAUCAGCUUGUUGGUGGGGUAAUGGCCUACCAAGGCGUCGACGGGUAGCCGGCCUGAGAGGGUGUACGGCCACAUUGGGACUGAGAUACGGCCCAG
rnacentral:rRNA from 1 species